UGUCUGUCUGUCAGAUGACUGAGAAGAUGGGAGACAUGGACCUGGAGCAGGUCUAUGACCUGAUGCCCUGCCACCUGGAGCUGAUCACCAACAAAGGCUUGCUAUCUCUCUCUCGUCUCUUUCUCUGUCGCUCUGUCUCUGUCUCUUUCUCUGUCUCUUUCUUUCUCUCUCUCUGUCUCUCUCUUUCUCUCACACAGACAGGCACACACACAUAUAGUAAAGUACACUUGUGACAAUGAUAAACAAUUGUUUGUUAGUACUAGUAGUAGUGAUAUGUGUGUGUGUUUAGGUGAAGCGCGGGCCAGCUUGGCCAAUGUUUCACAGUCAGAUGAGGAACCCAGCAUGUAUUACCAUGGCUACACCAGACUUAAGGGGUGUAGUUCCAUGCCAGACCUGCAGAGGGAGACUCUCCUGGAGGAGCUGGAGAUGGAGGCCCUGCCUGCCAGACCCCAGUCCCCCCUGGUGCUGCUGGCCACUGGGCCCUGCUCCAGCAUCGAGAAGCCCAUUGACCCUGCCCACGACCUUAGGAGGUUGCUACAGGACAGAGUGAUUGUGGAUCAGGCUGUGACAGAUUCUGACACAGACCUCCCUCCACUGAUCAAGGCCCUGACGUGGAGAAGCUCCACCAAACUACAACAGCUCACCCACACUCUGCAGGUAGGGAACACACUCUGUAGGUAGGGAACACACUCUGCAGGUAGGAUACACACUCUGCAGGUAGGGAACACACUCUGCAGGUAGGGAACACACUCUGUAGGUAGGGAACACACUCUGCAGGUAGGAUACACACUCUGCAGGUAGGGAACACACUCUGCAGGUAGGGAACACACUCUGCAGGUAGGGAACACACUCUGAAGGUAGGAAACACACUCUGUAUGUAGGGAACACACUCUGCAGGUAGGAAACACACUCUGUAUGUAGGGAACACACUCUGCAGGUAGGAAACACACUCUGUUUGUAGGGAACACACUCUGCAGGUAGGAAACACACUCUGUAGGAAGGAAACACACUCUAGGUAGGAAAGACACUCUGUAGGUAGGAAAGACACUCUGCAGGUAUGAAACACACUCUGCAGGUAUGAAACACACUCUGCAGGUAGGGAACACACUCUGUAGGUAGGGAACACACUGCAGGUAGGGAACACACUCUGCAGGUAUGAAACACACUCUGCAGGUAGGAAACACACUCUGCAGGUAGGGAACACACUCUACAGGUAGGGACACUCUGCAGGUAUGAAACACACUGCAGGUAGGAAACACACUCUGCAGGUAGGAAACACACUCUGCAGGUAGAGAACACACUCUGCAGGUAGGGAACACACUCUGUAGGUAGGGAACACACUCUGCAGGUAGGGAACACACUCUGCAGGUAGGGAACACACUCUGCAGGUAGGAAACACACUCUGCAGGUAGGGAACACACUCUGCAGGUAGGGAACACACUCUGCAGGUAGGAAACACACUCUGCAGGUAGGAAACACACUCUGCAGGUAGGGAACACACUCUGUAGGUAGGGAACACACCUCUGCAGGUAGGAAACACACUCUGCAGGUAGGAAACACACUCUGCAGGUAGGGUCCACACUCUGCAGGUAGGGAACACACUCUGCAGGUAGGGAACACACUCUGUAGGAAGGAAACACACUCUGUAGGAAGGAAACACACUCUGCAGGUAGGAAACACACUCUGCAGGUAGGGAACACACUCUGUAGGAAGGAAACACACUCUGCAGGUAGAAAAAACACUCUGCAGGUAGGGAACACACUCUGUAGGUAGGGAACACACUCUGUAGGUAGGGAACACACCUCUGCAGGUAGGAAACACACUCUGCAGGUAGGAAACACACUCUGCAGGUAGGGAACACACUCUGUAGGUAGGGAACACACCUCUGCAGGUAGGAAACACACUCUGCAGGUAGGAAACACACUCUGCAGGUAGGGAACACACUCUGCAGGUAGGGAACACACUCUGCAGGUAGGGAACACACUCUGUAGGAAGGAAACACACUCUGUAGGAAGGAAACACACUCUGUAGGAAGGAAACACACUCUGUAAGAAGGAAACACACUCUGCAGGUAGGAAACACACUCUGCAGGUAGGGAACACACUCUGUAGGAAGGAAACACACUCUGCAGGUAGAAAAAACACUCUGCAGGUAGGGAACACACUGUAGGCAGGGAACACACUCUGUAGGCAGGGAACACACUCUGUAGGUAGGGAACACACUCUGCAGGUAGGAAACACACUCUGUAGGAAGGAAACACACUCUGUAGGAAGGAAACACACUCUGCAGGUAGGAAACACACUCUGCAGGUAGGGAACACACUCUGUAGGCAGGGAACGCACUCUGCAGGUAGGGAACACACUGUAGGUAGGGAACAAACCCUGCAGGUAGGAAACACACUCUGUAGGUAGGGAACACACUAUGCAGGCAGGGAACACACUCUGCAGGUAGGGAACACACUCUCUAUGUAGGGAACACACUCUGUAGGUAGGAAACACACUCUGCAGGUAGGGAACACACUCUGUAGGUAGGGAACACACUCUGUAGGAAGGAAACACACUCUGCAGGUAGGAAACACACUCUGCAGGUAGGGAACACACUCUGUAGGAAGGAAACACACUCUGUAGGAAGGAAACACACUCUGUAGGAAGGAAACACACUCUGUAGGAAGGAAACACACUCUGCAGGUAGGAAACA
rnacentral:lncRNA from 8 species